GGGUCUAUGAUGACAGCCCAAUGUAAUGAAGAGAGGUAAUGCAAUAAAAAACAUGCUCAAUAGGAUUACACAGAGGCCC